rnacentral:tRNA from 2 species
AGGGAUGAAGCUCAGAUUGUAGAGCGCUUGCUUAGCAUGCAAGAGGUACGGGAUCGACACCCUACAUCUCUA